rnacentral:tRNA from 1 species
UAGGCCCAUAACUCAGUCGGUAGAGUGACUGCCUUACAAGCAGUAGGUCAUCGGUUCAAGUCCGGUUGGGCCUAA